GACGAACGCUGGCGGCGUGCCUAAUACAUGCAAGUCGAACGAAUUUUCGUGCACCGUAGCUUGCUAAACCGAAAGAAGAUGAGUGGCGAAAGGGGGAGUAAACCGAGGGUAACCUGCCGAACAACGGGGGGUAACACUAGCUAACAGGUGCUAAUACAGCAUAAUUCCAUGUACAGCAGGGAAGAAGGAUGAAAGGCGCACUUGCGGAACUGACGGAUGGACACGCGGUGCCUUUGCUAGUUGGUGGGGUGACGGCCUACCAAGGCUGCGAUGCAUAGCCGACCUGAGGAGGUGGUCGGCCACACUGGGACCUGGACACCGCCCCGACUCCUACGGGAGGCAGCAGUAGGGGAUCUUCGGCCAUGGACCCAAGUCUUACCGGGCCACCCCGCGUGAGUGGAGAAGGUUUUCGGAUCGUAAAACCCUGUUGUUUGAGAAGAACAAAGAUGGGAGUGGAAAAUUCAUCCCUUGACGGUAUCUAACCAGAAAGCCACGGCUAACUACGUG
rnacentral:rRNA from 1 species